GUGGGGAAUAUUGGACAAUGGGGGGAACCCUGAUCCAGCCAUGCCGCGUGUGUGAAGAAGGCCUUUUGGUUGUAAAGCACUUUAAGUGGGGAGGAGGCUUACCUAGUUAAUACCUGGGCUAAGUGGACGUUACCCACAGAAUAAGCACCGGCUAACUCUGUGCCAGCAGCCGCGGUAAUACAGAGGGUGCGAGCGUUAAUCGGAUUUACUGGGCGUAAAGCGCGCGUAGGUGGUUAAUUAAGUCAAAUGUGAAAUCCCCGAGCUUAACUUGGGAAUUGCAUUCGAUACUGGUUGGCUAGAGUAUGGGAGAGGAUGGUAGAAUUCCAGGUGUAGCGGUGAAAUGCGUAGAGAUCUGGAGGAAUACCGAUGGCGAAGGCAGCCAUCUGGCCUAAUACUGACACUGAGGUGCGAAAGCAUGGGGAGCAAACAGGAUUAGAAACCCGUGUAGUCC
rnacentral:rRNA from 1 species